rnacentral:rRNA from 1 species
UACGGGGGGAGCAAGCGUUGUUCGGAUUUACUGGGCGUAAAGGGCGCGUAGGCGGCGCGACAAGUCACUUGUGAAAUCUCUGGGCUCAACCCAGAACGGUCAAGUGAUACUGUCGUGCUAGAGUACAGAAGGGGCAACUGGAAUUCUCGGUGUAGCGGUGAAAUGCGUAGAUAUCGAGAGGAACACCUGCGGCGAAGGCGGGUUGCUGGGCUGAUACUGACGCUGAGGAGCGAAAGCUAGGGGAGCAAACGGG